rnacentral:tRNA from 1 species
UGCCCGGUGGUGUAAUGGUAACACGUCGCGCUCUGGACGCGAAGUCUCCUGGUUCGAGCCCAGGCCGGGCAG